GAUGAAGAACGCAGCGAAAUGCGAUAAGUAAUGUGAAUUGCAGAAUUCAGUGAAUCAUCGAGUCUUUGAACGCACAUUGCGCCCCCUGGUAUUCCGGGGGGCAUGCCUGUCCGAGCGUCAUUGCUGCCCUCAAGCACGGCUUGUGUGUUGGGCCUCCGUCCUCCUCCCGGGGGACGGGCCCGAAAGGCAGCGGCGGCACCGCGUCCGGUCCUCGAGCGUAUGGGGCUUCGUCACCCGCUCUUGUAGGCCCGGUCGGCGCUUGCCGACACAUCAAUCUUUUUUCCAGGUUGACCUCAGAUCAGGUAGGGAUACCCGCUGAACUUAAGCAUAUCAAUAAGCGGAGGA
rnacentral:misc_RNA from 1 species